GCAAAUUCCGUGGGGAGUGGAACGAGAGACUGCGGAGGAGGUUCAACACAGCAUUUAAGGUGGCUGCAGCUCUUUUGAAUCUGGUUAGUCUGCUCCACGGUUCCAUGGACGCGUCUCAUUUCAGCACCAAGCUUUUUCGCCUCAUGCUAGUUUGUUCUCUUUAUUUCGGCUGCUUACUAUAUAUUGAGGACUAAUCUGAUUAAGCUAAUAGAGAGCAUACUGGGGGAAAAAGCCUGGUGGAGAGGUUGUCAUCAAGGAAUACCCCAAAACUAAAAGCCUGACUGACCUGACCAGAAGAAAGAUGAUCAACGUUCUUGUUUCCGGCGAUGACGGAGACUCAUGGGACAUCAGCACCGCGCAGUGUGAGAGAAACUUUUGCACAAGGCAUUGUGUCGUUGUUCCCAUACCUGAAUGAUCCCUACAUCACAAAUUGAUAUGCAAGUAUACAUUACAACUGCGUUUAAUUAGUCUGGUACAGUAUCUGAGCAAAUGGGACUUGGUUAAUUGUUUUUUCUUUCAAGAUUAGUAACCAUGUUCAUUUUCUUAAGGAACAU